UCUCCUGGCUUCUCCCCACAGUCCGUAUCCAAGUCUAAGUUUCUUAUAGGUUUCACUUUCACUUUCAACCUGCAGUCCGUAUCUAAGUUUCUUCUUGCUUUCACUUUAAAUCCUAACUUCUUUCCCACAGUCCAUAUCCGAGUCCAAGCCUCCUCCAGGUUUCACUUUCGCUUUCAAUCUCCUAGCUUCCCCGCCAUAGUCCGCAUCCGAGUCUAUGAAAGCUUUCACUUUCGCUUUCAAUCCUAACUUCUUUCCCACAGUCCAUAUCCAAGUCUAUGCCUAGGCUUUCAAUAGCUUCUUCCGGCACCUUUCUCGUCCGGCUUUCCCCUAGGCUCUUCGCUAGUCUCUCUCUCCGGUAUUUUCCUGCUUCUUCCCGUUUCUUCCCUCCUAAGUUUCCUAUCCGUCCUAGGUUUCCUAUCCGAGUCAUUUCUUCCAAGUUUCAUAUCCGUCCUAGGUUUCCUAUCCGAGUCACGGCACCAUUAUGUCGCUCCCCCUCUUCGUGGAGGAACGACACAGGACCCUGCGCUGUUCUUUCGUCUGCUCGGCCCUCCCCGGGUUUGCUGCUGGUUCUUCCCGGGUUGGCUACUAUCCCUUCCACCUCCGUGGAAGGGCAGUUCCCCCUGGCCACAUUCCCCACUUCCGCAGGGGAGCGGCACACCGCCGGCCGGCUCUUCUCGGGGGUUGCACGGGUGUUCCUUCAGCUAGAUGUUCCCCAUAGAUGUUCCUGGUGCAUGUUGUCUCUCUCCUCCUUUAUAGUCCUCUUCCGCCAAUCCCAACUCAGCUGCCUUGAGGCGCCGAGUACGCUGCUCUCCUCCAAUCAGGAGCAGGUCCUGCUGUUUAUUGGUUGAACUGGAGGCAGCUGUGUAGAAGCUGUUUCCUCCUCUCCCAGCGCCAUAUUGUGGGAGAGCAGAUGCAUAGAAUAAGUCUUAAUUCCAGUAACUUAGUCUAGUCCGAGUUGCUCCCAGUUGCUCCCCACAUUAACCAUUGGGGAACCUGACUGAGAGCAUGUGGGCAUUUGUAACUCCUGUAGGCUUGAAAUUUUAAAAAAGUAAAAUCGAGGGAAACAAUUAGUUAAAAUAAAACAUAAAAUAAAAGGAAUGUCCCAGUGGAAUUGUGGUGCAGCAGGUUAAGCUGCAGCUGAUGACGUCAGCAUCCCAUUUCUGAAUCCUGAGUGCUUUACUUCCGAUCCAGCUUCCUGUGCUGGGGAAGACAGCUGCUGACAGCCUAAUUUCUUGAGCCCCUGCUAUCCACAUGGGAAACCAGGAGGAAGUUCCUGGCUCCUGGCUUCAGCCUGUCCCAGCCCUGGCUGCUACAGGCAUUUGGGGAGUGAACCAGCAGGUGGAAGAUCUCUGUCUGUCUCUCUCUCUCUCUCUCUCUCUCUGUAACUCUGCCUUUCAAAUGAAUAAAUACAUCUUAAAAAUAAUAAUAACAAGAGUGUCAUUGAGAAAAAGCCUGGAGGAUGACAACUGGGCAGUGAGGCUGCUGGAGGAGAACUGAGAUGCUUGGCAUGAGGCAGUCGGGCACAGGACCACCCAUAGGCCUCUGGUGAGUUUGAAGAGCUGUUUUGUGGAAGAACGAGUGGUCUUGUUCUCUUUCUCUUGGAGCAUGAGCUGACUCUAGGCCUGGAGAAUGUUGCCAGAGGACACAUUUGGCUUCUGUGAGGCAGGAGGUGCUACCUUAGGCCCGCCAGCAGGGCAACAGACUAUGCUGCGUAUGGCAGAGAGCUGUCCACAAGGAGCUGCCCUCUUAGGCCGGCUGCCAUGCACGUGGCGGUCUGGUGGAACCUCUAAAGGCCCUCCUCCAGCUCUGACAGUCUCAGUUCACAGAUACUCCUUCCUUUUGCCCCUGAAUUCCCUAAUGCUGUUGAAAUGGUAUCUGAGCCAGCGCCGGGGCUCACUAGGCUAAUCCUCUGCCUUGCAGCGCCGGUACACCGGGUUCUAGUCCCGGUCGGGGCGCCAGAUUCUAUCCCAGUUGCCCCUCUUCCAGGCCAGCUCACUGCGGUGGCCAGGGAGUGCAGUGGAGGAUGGCCCAAGUACUUGGGCCCUGCACCCCAUGGGAAACCAGGAUAAGCACCUGGCUCCUGGCUUCGGAUCAGCGCGGUGUGCCGGCGGGCUGUGGCCCGCGGCAGCCAUUGGAGGGUGAACCAAAGGCAAAGGAAGACCUUUCUCUCUGUCUCUCUCUCUCUCACUGUCCACUCUGCUUGUCAAAGUAAAAAAAAGAAAAAGAAAUGGUAUCUGAACCACCCUGAUUGGGAGUGGUACAAGUUGGGGAGCAGAGAAUUUUAUUGUGAUCAUUAUUCUUAGUAUCUAAGUAUUAAACCAAAAUUACUAUAUGUCUUCUUUAAAUACCUAGGAAUUGCUUAUAAUAUGCCUAUUCUUACUAAAAGUAGGAUAAUUUUUCAUUUUUUAAUUUAAAAAUGCAUCUGCAUCUGUUUUCGUGUAAUAACUCAUAACCUACUUACUGAUAUGUUGCUUCCUCUACGUUUCCAGUGACAUCUGGUCCUUAGGAUGCAUUCUGUAUGAACUCUGUACCCUUAAGCAUCCGCUCCUGGUCUCUAGUCUACUCUCUGUCUCUAUGAAUCGCAUAUUCUAGAUAUUUCAUUUUCAGGCAAAUAGUUGGAAAAGUCUCAUCCUCAAAAUAUGUGGAGGUUCCAUCAGGCCACUGCCUUCCCAUUACUCCUACGAGCUGCAGUUUCUAAUCAAGCAGAUGUUUAAGAGGAAUCCCCUGCACUGCCCUUCAGCCUCGGCGCUCCUGUGCAGAGGCAGCCUAGCUCCGCUCCUGGGGAAGUGCUUCCCCCCUGAGGUAGGACGCCUGUUGGAUCAGCUGUGAACAGGUUUCCAGGGCUUGUUAUCUUGUCAACACACUUGCAAGAGUACUUUUAAACUUUUAACCUACAGUGCGGCCCUGGCACACCGGGUUUGAGUCCUGGUUGGGGUGCCAGAUCCUGUUCCAGUUGCUCCUCUUCCAGUCCAGCUCUCUGCUAUGGCCCGGGAGUGCAGUGGAGGAUGGCCCAGGUCCUUGGGCCCUGCAUCCCAUGGGAGACCAGGAGAAGCACCUGGCUCCUGGCUUCGGAAAGGUACAGUGCGCCAGCGUAGUGGCCAUUUCGGGGGGGUGACCCAACAGAAAAGGAAGACCUUUCUCUCUGUCUCUCUCUCUGUCUAACUCUGUCUAUCAAAAAAAAAGUUUUGGAGAAUGGAAUUAAAAGUUUCAUAUAUUCAUAUAAAAAUACCAUAAAGGUACAUAUAAAUUGUGAAAUCCACAUAUAUGAGGGUCUUCAAAAAACUAAAAAAAAAAUAAAUGCUAUGAAAAAGCUGUGCAUGAAACUCAAAAUUGUCUUCUAUUAAAUUAAUUAUAACUCCAUUUUUCAUGAACUUUUAAAAAAGAUUUAUCUAUUUGAAAGGCAGAGUUAUAGAGAGGGAGAGAGAGAAAGAGAUCUUCCAUGCACUGGUUCACUUCCCAAAUGACACACAGGGCUAAACAAGACCGAAGCCAGGAGCCAGGAGUUUCUCUCACAUGGGUGCUGGGUCCAAGCAUUUGGGCCAUCUUCUGCUGUUUUCCCAGGCUAUUAGCAGGGAAAUGGAUUGGAAGUUGAGCAGCCAGGACUUGAACUGGUGCUCACAUGGGAUGCUGGCACUGCAGGCAAUUGCUCAACCCACUACACCACAAUGCUGCCCCUUCCAUAAACCUUCUGUGGUGCCAUUUUGGGGCUGGUGUUGUGGUGUUGCAGGUAAAGCCUCCAUCUACAAUGCUGGCAUUCCAUAUGGGCACUGGUUUGUGUCCCAGAUGCUCCACUUGCAAUCCAGCUCCUUGCUAAUGCACCUGGGAAAGCAGUGGAAGAUAGCCCAGGUGCUUGGGCCCCUGCACCCCCAUGGGAGACCAGGAGGAAGCACCUGGCUCCUGGCUUCAGAUUGGUGCAGUGUGCUGGCUGUGGCGGCCAUUUUGGGGGUGAACCAACAGAAGGAAGACCUUUCUCUCUGUCUCUCUCUCACUGUCUAACUCUGCUUGUCAAAUAAAAUAAAAUAAAAUAAAAAAUGUUAAUGCUUCCUUCCCUUUUCUUCUUCAUCCCACAAUACUGUUUCCAAGUGUAAGCUCAGCUGUGGCUUGUGUAAUCGUACAGGUCUUUAUUUAUAUGUAUAAAUUUACUUAUUUUAUAUAUAAAUAAUAUACAAAUGUCUAUAUUUAUCUCUCUGCCUAACUACAUGUAUUCUUAAAUGUUAUUUUUUAUUUUUCAACUUAAGUAUUAUUGUGCUGAAGAUUGUUGAUAAUUAAAUAACAUUACAGCAGUGUCUAAAGAGAUGUAUAUAAAUUCCCAACUUUAAU